rnacentral:rRNA from 1 species
AUUGAACGCUGGCGGCAGGCUUAACACAUGCAAGUCGAGCGGUAGCACAGGGGAGCUUGCUCCCUGGGGGACGAGCGGCGGACGGGUGAGUCAUGUCUGGGAAACUGCCUGAUGGAGGGGGAUAACUACUGGAAACGGUAGCUAAUACCGCAUAACGUCUCAAGACCAAAGAGGGGGAGCGUCGGGCCGCUUGCCAGCAAAUUAGCCCCGAUGGGAUUCGCUAGUAGGUGGGGUAAUGGCUCACCUAGGCGCCGAUCCAUAGCUGGUCUGAGAGGAUGACGCGCCACACUGGAACUGAGACACGGUCCAGACUCCUACGGGAGGCAGCAGUGGGGAAUAUUGCACAAUGGGCGCAAGCCUGAUGCAGCCAUGCCGCGUGUGUGAAGAAGGCCUUCGGGUUGUAAAGCACUUUCAGCGAGGAGGAAGGUGGUGAGCUUAAUACGUUCAUCAAUUGACGUUACUCGCAGAAGAAGCACCGGCUAACUCCGUG